rnacentral:rRNA from 1 species
GAUGAACGCUGGCGGCGUGCCUAAUACAUGCAAGUCGAGCGAACGGACGAGAAGCUUGCUUCUCUGAUGUUAGCGGCGGACGGGUGAGUAACACGUGGAUAACCUACCUAUAAGACUGGGAUAACUUCGGGAAACCGGAGCUAAUACCGGAUAAUAUUUUGAACCGCAUGGUUCAAAAGUGAAAGACGGUCUUGCUGUCACUUAUAGAUGGAUCCGCGCUGCAUUAGCUAGUUGGUAAGGUAACGGCUUACCAAGGCAACGAUGCAUAGCCGACCUGAGAGGGUGAUCGGCCACACUGGAACUGAGACACGGUCCAGGCUCCUACGGGAGGCAGCAGUAGGGAAUCUUCCGCAAUGGGCGAAAGCCUGACGGAGCAACGCCGCGUGAGCGAUGAAGGUCUUCGGAUCGUAAAACUCUGUUAUUAGGGAAGAACAUAUGUGUAAGUAACUGUGCACAUCUUGACGGUACCUAAUCAGAAAGCCACGGCUAACUACGUG